UACGGGGGGAGCAAGCGUUGUUCGGAUUUACUGGGCGUAAAGAGCUCGUAGGCGGCUUGUCGCGUCGAAUGUGAAAUCUCAGGGCUCAACUCUGACAUUGCAUUCGAUACGGGCAGGCUAGAGUUCGGUAGGGGAGACUGGAAUUCCUGGUGUAGCGGUGAAAUGCGCAGAUAUCAGGAGGAACACCGGUGGCGAAGGCGGGUCUCUGGGCCGAUACUGACGCUGAGGAGCGAAAGCGUGGGGAGCGAACAGG
rnacentral:rRNA from 1 species